AGCAGCAGCCACGGGAAUACAGAGGGUGCAAGCGUUAAUCGGAAUUACUGGGCGUAAAGCGCGCGUAGGUGGUUCGCCAAGUUGGAUGUGAAAUCCCCGGGCUCAACCUGGGAACUGCAUCCAAAACUGGCGAGCUAGAGUAUGGUAGAGGGUGGUGGAAUUUCCUGUGUAGCGGUGAAAUGCGUAGAUAUAGGAAGGAACAUCAGUGGCGAAGGCGACCACCUGGACUGAUACUGACACUGAGGUGCGAAAGCGUGGGGAGCAAACAGGAUUAGAUACCCGCGUAGUCCCUGUCUCUUAUAC
rnacentral:rRNA from 1 species